rnacentral:rRNA from 1 species
GUGGGGAAUAUUGGACAAUGGGCGAAAGCCUGAUCCAGCCAUGCCGCGUGUGUGAAGAAGGUCUUCGGAUUGUAAAGCACUUUAAGUUGGGAGGAAGGGCAGUAAGUUAAUACCUUGCUGUUUUGACGUUACCGACAGAAUAAGCACCGGCUAACUUCGUGCCAGCAGCCGCGGUAAUACGAAGGGUGCAAGCGUUAAUCGGAAUUACUGGGCGUAAAGCGCGCGUAGGUGGUUUUGUAAGUUGGGGGUGAAAUCCCCGGGCUCAACCUGGGAACUGCCUCCAAAACUGCAUGACUAGAGUACGGUAGAGGGUAGUGGAAUUUCCUGUGUAGCGGUGAAAUGCGUAGAUAUAGGAAGGAACACCAGUGGCGAAGGCGACUACCUGGACUGAUACUGACACUGAGGUGCGAAAGCGUGGGGAGCAAACAGGAUUAGAAACCCCUGUAGUCC